rnacentral:lncRNA from 1 species
AACAAAUUUUAACUCAUUUAAUCCUUGUAGUAACCAUGUAAAGCAAUACUAUUGUUAUUCUCGCUUUACAGAUAUGGAAGAGGUUGAAUAACUUGCUUCAGGUCACACAGGUAGUAAAUGGCAGAGGCAAGAUGUGAGCCCAGGAAGUAUGCCCUGCUACCACUGCGCAGUGGAGGCGUGUGCUGAACCUAAUCAACAAUCUGUCCAUUGUAGCUCUGCAUCCUGCCCUCUUCAUUUUGGACCAAGACUGAAGGAGCAGCCCCUGAGACAUGCCCUCUUGUGACAGAGGAAAAGAGUGAUGGCCGAAACCACACAAUGGCUCUAGCAUUUUUCCCCCAGAGCACACUCUUUUGCCCAAAGCAAGUCACAUGGUCUAACUUGAUGGCAAUCAGGUGGGGAAGUUUAAUCCCCCAAAUAGAGAGGGGCUGGUAGAAAGGACAGCAAAUGUUUUUGAGCAAGUAAUGUAAGUGUCCAAAAAUUACAAGUAAAAAUGUUAACGAUAAAAGCUCUGGGGACAAGAAGAGAGGGCUGCAAUGGAGAGUAACAAUGGAGAAUGAUUUAGACUGACGGUGGUGGUGUUGGCAGCUCUGGAAAGGCUUUUCUGAACAAGUAACAUCUCAGCUCAAACCCAAGAGAUAAAGAGAAGUUAUGCAAUACAAGGGUUGAGAGAAGAGUAAGAGAGGAACAGCAUGUGUAAAAGUCCUGAGGCAGAGAAGAGUUUGGCAUGCUUGAAAUGUUGGCAAGAGGCAGUACCAUGUAUUGGCCAAGAGUGGAGGCAUCCUGGAUUUCAAUCCUAGGUCUAUCCCUUACUAGCCAUGUCUAACUGACCUAUCUGUGUCUCAUUUUCCUCAUGUGUAAGUACUGGGUGUGCUUGGCUCAUGACAGUCAUUAUUACUAAUGGAAAGAAAACCCUGGUGGCUGCAGUGUGAUGACCAAAAAGUAAAAGAAAUGAGGCUGGAGGGUACCCACAUCUGUGGGGACCUGUACAUCUUGGAAAGAUUUGAAUCUUAGUCCUAGAAGGUACUUUAAACUAGGGAGUGACUUAGUUCAGUGUAUACUUUAUAUUUUCCUAUCAUAUUCUGGGGAGAUAUUCUCCACCUAAACAACUAUCUGUUGUUGGAACAUAAUGAAAUCCUAGUGAGACCCUGAUGGACAAAGGGAGGCAGGGGUGGGGUGGAGAGAGAAAUGAGCUUCAGACCAGGAAAGAAUUGAGAGAGGGAUGAGAGAUGGGAGAAGAGAGCUGUCC